GACGAACGCUGGCGGCGUGCUUAACACAUGCAAGUCGAACGGAAAGGCCCUGCUUUUGUGGGGUGCUCGAGUGGCGAACGGGUGAGUAACACGUGAGUAACCUGCCCUUGACUUUGGGAUAACUUCAGGAAACUGGGGCUAAUACCGGAUAGGAGCUCCUGCUGCAUGGUGGGGGUUGGAAAGUUUCGGCGGUUGGGGAUGGACUCGCGGCUUAUCAGCUUGUUGGUGGGGUAGUGGCUUACCAAGGCUUUGACGGGUAGCCGGCCUGAGAGGGUGACCGGCCACAUUGGGACUGAGAUACGGCCCAGACUCCUACGGGAGGCAGCAGUGGGGAAUAUUGCACAAUGGGCGGAAGCCUGAUGCAGCAACGCCGCGUGCGGGAUGACGGCCUUCGGGUUGUAAAACGCUUUCGCCUGUGACGAAGCGUGAGUGACGGUAAUGGGUAAAGAAGCACCGGCUAACUACGUGCCAGCAGCCGCGGUGAUACGUAGGGUGCGAGCGUUGUCCGGAUUUAUUGGGCGUAAAGGGCUCGUAGGUGGUUGAUCGCGUCGGAAGUGUAAUCUUGGGGCUUAACCCUGAGCGUGCCUUCGAUACGGGUUGACUUGAGGAAGGUAGGGGAGAAUGGAAUUCCUGGUGGAGCGGUGGAAUGCGCAGAUAUCAGGAGGAACACCAGUGGCGAAGGCGGUUCUCUGGGCCUUUCCUGACGCUGAGGAGCGAAAGCGUGGGGAGCGAACAGGCUUAGAUACCCUGGUAGUCCACGCUGUAAACGGUGGGUACUAGGUGUGGGGUCCAUUCCACGGGUUCCGUGCCGUAGCUAACGCUUUAAGUACCCCGCCUGGGGAGUACGGCCGCAAGGCUAAAACUCAAAGGAAUUGACGGGGCCCCGCACAAGCGGCGGAGCAUGCGGAUUAAUUCGAUGCAACGCGUAGAACCUUACCUGGGUUUGACAUGGAUCGGGAGUGCUCAGAGAUGGGUGUGCCUCUUUUGGGGUCGGUUCACAGGUGGUGCAUGGCUGUCGUCAGCUCGUGUCGUGAGAUGUUGGGUUAAGUCCCGCAACGAGCGCAACCCUUGUUCACUGUUGCCAGCACGUUAUGGUGGGGACUCAGUGGAGACCGCCGGGGUCAACUCGGAGGAAGGUGGGGAUGACGUCAAGUCAUCAUGCCCCUUAUGUCCAGGGCUUCACGCAUGCUACAAUGGCUGGUACAGAGAGUGGCGAGCCUGUGAGGGUGAGCGAAUCUCGGAAAGCCGGUCUCAGUUCGGAUUGGGGUCUGCAACUCGACCUCAUGAAGUCGGAGUCGCUAGUAAUCGCAGAUCAGCAACGCUGCGGUGAAUACGUUCCCGGG
rnacentral:rRNA from 1 species